GAACCGUUCCUAUUAACCCUAACGUUAACUUUAUUACCGUACUUGCAAAUUUAUUACUGUUUAUAUUGCCAUGAAUUCAAUCCCGAUGCAUGUUCAUGCAUUUGCAAUGUGUUUUCGUUCCUGUUUUUGAACCCGUCACCGCGUCCCCCAUUCCGUCAUUGGUUUGUUACCCGACUGUGUUCACCUGUUCCAUGUUAGCCCAUGUUUGUCCACUUAUAUCUUGGUGUUUUAGCUUAUAAUUCCAAAGACUUCUUGUGCAUUUAUAUCUUGUCAGUUUUGUUUUGUAUAUUCUUCUUCUUCUGUCUUGGAUUACGAUCAUAGAGUAUUUUUCACUCUAAUUUGCCUGUUGCUUGACCCCUGCUAAAGACAAUGAAAAUGAUUCCUGGAUUGCUCCAAAGCAAAAAACAAAAACAAAAGCAGCACUGAGUUCUUGCAUUUGUGUCUUGUCACCCGCUGCAUGUUAUGCAUGUGAUCUUCUUGAUCGCUAACCCAGUCAUUUUUCUGUCAUUUGCCAGGAAACCAUCUGAACAUCAAUGAUCAAGCUGGAGUUCCUCCAUUUGAAGAAUCUGAGAGGAGUAGAAUCCCGGCGAUGGAGAGCAGGAGGAUGCAGUGAAGGAGUCCUGGCAUGGACAUGGUGCUCUGAGCACAGUGUAAGACUCAGGAGGUGCUCAGCUAACAGACUGAUGGACCUUGAACACGUCCGUCGUAAUCUAUAGUGACCCAGAGGAGGGAGGGGAACGAUGAUGUCACAGCACACACACGGAGACAUGCUUGGACACACC